GACCUGAACUCUGACGUGAACACCCGCUGAACUUAAGCGUAU
rnacentral:rRNA from 1 species